UCUUAAGUGGAACGUAGCCAUUGUAAUAAAGGCUGUCAAAUACACUGACAGCAUACUUAAUCAAAUCAAAAUUCGUAUCAAAAGAAUUCUAAUAAACAUAGAAUUCUGUUAUAAUAUAACUAAUUCUGAUACAGAAUAAAAAAUUAAAUAAAGUGUGAUGAAAAAGUUUUAAUUCCUGUGUGUAGUGUGGCUUUAAUUUUGAGCUAACUUUGCUAUUUGUAAAGUAUUGGUGUAUUUUUAAAUUUAUCUUUAUUCCGCGUUUUAUUUGCGAUUGUGGCGUCUAUGUGGCCUAUUUAGAGGUCAGUAACUUUUAUUAUACGACUAAUAGUAAAAGUCUGAUGGAAAUGUGAUGAGCAAUUAACAAAAAAAAAAAAAAAAAACCAAAAUGGAUGUACCAAGUGAUACGACGGAAA